UAAAUCUAUCAUUUUCAUCAGCCGUUUCCACAAGUUUUCCUUCUCCCUCCUAUUUCCUCUCAUUCUCAAACCCUAUCCUUAAUUCUCUGCAACUUAGUCAAACAAUUAAAAGAACACUUUAUCUUUAUACACACACAUACAGCUAUCAGACCCCCUCUUUCCCUCUCAUUUUUGUCUGAACAUUAUAAUUUGUUUCCUUUGAAUCUCUUCAACUAAACCAAAAUACACACACGUAAAAUUUUGUCAACAUCUCUCUCGAUCUAUACAUCAGAGCAUUCAUCUUCAACAUUCAUCUCCACUCAUCUCACGGAUCCGGCUGCCGUUGGUCCGGUGGUUCGGUUCUUCGGGCAAGACAUCCCCCCCCUCUGCGAUGGAUGAACGAACCACCACCACCAUCGUCGGGUGGUGGUGGUGAGCGACGGCUGGCCCCAGAUAUCGAUGAGAGAGAGAGAGAGAGUGGUGGCGUAUGGCGUGCAGCGGCGGAAGACGACGGCGCCGCCACCUGCGGCGGCGGUGAGAGGAGGCGGUGAAGAUAAUGAUGACCGAUGAGAAGAAGAUGAUGAAAAACAACGAAGCUGAGCAACGAUGAUGUCGAUGAUGACUAACGACAGUAGCCGUUAGUUUUCGUUGUGGAGUCCUUUUGGGUGUCGAGAAACAGAUCCGAUGGCAACUGUGGCGGUGGUGUUUUUGUUCAAGUUGUUUAUGCUCGGGUUGAUUCAGUUACAAUUCAACGUACGGUUCAAAACGAGUCCACUCGAGUCAACUCGGGUCAACUGGUCAACGGUUUGGUCAAAGAUGGUCAGAACCAGUCAACACGAGUCAAAGCUCAGGUCAAUAGUUAAAUUUGGUCAAGCGGUCAAAGGCAGUCAAUGGUUCGGUCAACUGGUUUCAGUUCGGGUCAACGCCAGUCAAAGACUCGGUCAAACCCGAGUCAACUCGGGUCAACAACGGUCAACUCGAAGAACCGGAAUGCUUUAGUUGCACGCUAGCGAGGUCACGUUCUUGGAACGGCACUACGGAAACACGCUAGGCUAGCUUUGCACCGGAAUGUCAACGUGAGUUCAUAACCCCCACUUUUUACUGAUUUACAUUUUUUUUAUAAAUGUUUUCG